GUCUUAUCAAGAGUGGCGGAGGGACUGGCCCGAUGAAGCCCGGCAACCUGUUUUUACAAGGUGCCAAUUCCCGACAGAUGAGCA
rnacentral:ncRNA from 2 species